rnacentral:misc_RNA from 1 species
GAUGAAGAACGAAGCAAAAUGCGAUAAGUAAUGUGAAUUGCAGAAUUCAGUGAAUCAUCGAAUCUUUGAACGCACAUUGCGCCCGCCAGUAUUCUGGCGGGCAUGCCUGUUCGAGCGUCAUUUCAACCCUCAAGCACAGCUUGGUGUUGGGACUCGCGUUAAUUCGCGUUCCUCAAAUUGAUUGGCGGUCACGUCGAGCUUCCAUAGCGUAGUAGUAAAACCCUCGUUACUGGUAAUCGUCGCGGCCACGCCGUUAAACCCCAACUUCUGAAUGUUGACCUCGGAUCAGGCAGGAAUACCCGCUGAACUUAAGCAUAUCAAUAAGCGGAGGA